CAACCGACUCUCCGCUUCUGCUCCCUUCUUCCCAUCUUCUUCCCUCACGUAUUGCCCAUUUUCCCCACCAGCAGAACAGCCCCCUUCCUUCCCCCUCUCAUUCUGCCAGCGUCCAUCUCGCACCAGCCCCCCCAUCCAUCAUCACACCCGCAACUCCCCAAUCACCCGCCAUCUCCACCGCUAACACCACUCCACCCCAACAUCUUCAUCAACCGCCAGCAUCCCCUCAGCUUCACCUCACGCCCUCACCACCAGCAACUUCACCUCACGUCCAACACUUCAGCACCGCAACUCCAUCCACCCGCCAGCUCCACAGUAGGUUCAUCUCCACGUCCAGCUGUCCACCGCCGCUACCAACCACCAGCAGCCAAGCCUUUCCCCCUUGGCCGAGGGCUUGAAGGGCUGCCACCGCUGCCGUUGAGCCCUGUUCGAGCCGCUUGUGCCUUGCCCUCGAUGCCGUUGCCACGAGCCUGCUGCCCUCAAAAACCCUGUGGUCACGUAAUUGAACCCGCCACCCAAUGGGAGUUUGGGGGCGAUACCCAAUUUUAUCGGAUGCCCGGAGAGGGUCGGAUGCCGAGUCAUGGUUGAGGCCGGACCAAAGCUCCUUUAUGGAAUGCCAUUUAGGCGAGAGUCCUAGAUGAUGCCAUGCCUGAUGGGGUGAGACGAUGCUUGGUUAUGCUGGAAGACCGCCGACACUUGUGUCGGUUAAGGCCCGAUGGGUCGUAAUAAUUGGAAAAUGUGUGAAUGAUUGUGAUGCAUUGCACUUGAUUAUAGGGUAAAACUGUUAGGCAUGGUAUGAGACAUGCCAAAAUGGGUUUUGUCUUAUAAUCGAGACCCAUGUGAAUGCUUGAAGAAUGAGAAUUAUGUAUUCUAAUUGUUAUUUAUGCACGUUGUACUAUUGUACGAGAUGUACUAAUAUGUAGGGACAUGCUGAGGCAAUGUGAGUUUAUGUGUGGUGCGUGCUUAAGCUGCCUUCGAGGCGAAUUCAUGCCCUAAUUGAGGCUUAGGGAUUUUAA